rnacentral:lncRNA from 1 species
UUUACAGCACAUGAACUUUGGGGGACACACUUAAACCAUAGUGCCGUCUUCAGUCUGAGAAGAAUUUCUGUCUUUCAUUGAAGUUCCAAAGGCUUCUUAUUUUGAUGACUUUGCCUAAAGAAGGGAUUCUACAGCCAAAUGCUUUCUUUUUAACAUACCGAAUGAGUAAAAGUGCAAAAUAAGUACAGAACUAUCAAACAGCAACAAAUGUGCUUCUGCUGCCUACCACAGAAUUUUCCUUGGUAAGAAGAAAACCCUACAUUACAUUUCUUUUUGGCUUCUGUCUCUGCAGCCUCAGAGUUGAUGAUGAAUGCAGUCCUGCUCCACUUUGAUUCCAUCUGGCUCUGGAAGGUGUUUCUGAAGAUUUGUGAACAGCAUUUGAAUUUCUAGCCUGGGAAACACCAAUGACCCAUAGUCUACCUGGGAUCAGCAUUUCCCCAUAUGGUAUGAUUUUGGGGUAUUGGGAUGGCUGCCUGUCCUCCAAAAUAGCUCAUUAUUUAAAGCCAUCAAGUUAUUUUUUUC